AUGGCGGGAAUGCUCGGCGUUGGCGCCACCCGUUCCCGCCUCCUCCGCUCCCCGCUACCCCUAUUUACCAGGCGCGCUCCCCUCCACCUCGCACCCCACCCCGACCCCAUCUCCCGCCGCCUCCUCUUCCUCCCAUCAAGAACCCUCACCGCCGCAGCGACGACGAUGGCCGCCACCAACGGUACCGCCGCCGCGGACCCCGUCCAGGAACAGCCCAAGGCGGCGGCGGCCCCCUCGCCGGCGCCGCUGUUGCUCAAGGUGAAGAAGCUGUCGGCCAACGCCGUGCUGCCCUCCCGCGGCUCCGCGCUGGCAGCCGGCUACGACCUCUCCAGCGCGGUGGAGGCCGUGGUGCCGGCGCGCGGCAAGGCGCUCGUCGCCACCGACCUCAGCGUCGCCGUCCCGCACGGCACCUACGCGCGCAUCGCGCCGCGGUCGGGGCUGGCGUGGAAGCACUCGAUCGACGUGGGCGCGGGCGUGGUGGACGCCGACUACCGGGGCCCCGUCGGCGUCGUCCUCUUCAACCACUCGGACGCCGACUUCGCCGUGAAGCCCGGGGACCGCGUCGCGCAGCUGGUCGUCGAGAGGAUCGCCACGCCGGACGUCGCCGAGGUGGACGACCUCGACGCCACCGUCAGGGGCGAGGGCGGGUUCGGAUCCACCGGCGUUUGA
rnacentral:rRNA from 1 species